GACGAACCGUGCGAACGUUGUUCGGAAUCACUGGGCUUAAAGGGAGCGUAGGCGGGCUAACAAGUCUGGGGUGAAAUGCCGCGGCUCAACCGUGGAACUGCCUUAGAUACUGUCGGCCUCGAGGGAGAUAGGGGCAUGCGGAACUGUAGGUGGAGCGGUGAAAUGCGUUGAUAUCUACAGGAACUCCGGUGGCGAAAGCGGCGUGCUGGAUCUCUUCUGACGCUGAGGCUCGAAAGCUAGGGGAGCAAACGGG
rnacentral:rRNA from 2 species